rnacentral:rRNA from 1 species
CCUACGGGAGGCAGCAGUGGGGAAUAUUGCACAAUGGGGGAAACCCUGAUGCAGCGACGCCGCGUGAGUGAAGAAGUAUUUCGGUAUGUAAAGCUCUAUCAGCAGGGAAGAAGAAAGACGGUACCUGACUAAGAAGCCUCGGCUAACCACGUGCCAGCAGCCGCGGGAAUACGGAGGGGGCAAGCGUUAUCCGGAAUUACUGGGUGGAAAGGGAGCGUAGACGGCCGUGCAAGUCUGAAGGGAAAGCCCAGGGGUCAACCCGGGGACUGCUUUGGAAACUGUGGAGCUAGAGUGCUGGAGAGGGAGGUGGAAUUCCUGGUGUAGCGGUGAAAUGCGUAGAUAUUAGGAGGAACACCAGUGGCGAAGGCGGCUGACUGGACAGUAACUGACGUUGAGGCUCGAAAGCGUGGGGAGCAAACAGGAUUAGAUACCCGUGUAGUC